UAAUAUAAAGGAGAUGAAGGAGAAAAUGUGGCGAAAAGGAAAAGAGCUGUCACCUUUAGCAAUUACUCAACAUGCAAGGUUUGUGGCCAAGUUUUGUUUUAUUUUUUAACUUAAUAUUUUGUAGAUUCGUUUAGUACACAUAUAAACUGCAUUAUACAUGUGUAAAUCUGUAUAACUAUUAUUUAUAUUUAUGUUGGCAAUUACUCAACAUGCAAGGUUUGUGGCCAAGUUUUGUUUUGUUUUUUAACUUAAUAUUUUGUAGAUUCGUUUAGUACACAUAUAAACUGCAUUAUACAUGUGUAAAUCUGUAUAACUAUUAUUUAUAUUUAUGUUGGCAUCCUUAGUUCUGUAAACAUUAUCAUGCAAGUAUUUUUAUUUUUUAUUCACCUUUAUAAAUUCUUCGACAUAUACACUUCAAUCGAUAGAUUUUUCAAAUAAACAAAUAAAAUUUGCUACGUAAUAAUUUUCACUUGUUUUCAAUUGUUGGGCCUUAGAAUAUGGGUCUAAAAUAUCGAUAGAGAUGCUUGAAAAUUCAGCCCAUGUAGCCCAGCAAAAAAUAUUACUAUCAUUAUUGAUGAAGACGUUUGAAAAAUAUACACAUGAUAAAAAAACGUGAUUUUGGGUUCGGGGUAAAUAAUUAAUUUAGGCUUUUAUUGAAUUAAUUUAGAUAUGAAUUUUAUUGAAAUGAACUAAUAAGAAUUGCUUAAACUUUCGUUCUUAUUUUUGUGAAGGAAUGGAUAUAUGUUUUAUUAAAUAGUAAUCCAAACACAUUACGCAUGUAAAUUUAUUGAAGGACAAAUAAGAUCAUAUUGAAGAUGAAAUUAAUGCAAUUUUGAAAUAAAUAAGUAGCUUUUGUAUCAUGCAUGCCUUUAGAUAUAUACGGCUAUAUGCAUUUACAUCAGCGAGCAAAUCCGAACUGUCUUCCUUCUUGAAGAUCACAUACCGUAGUAGUGAUUCUAAUGAGAAUCUUUACUUAAAUUGAUAAUGCGAACAUAAUUUUCAACUCUUCAAUUGCAAAUAUUUAUAAUAAAUGCAUCAUUGGAUUUAUAAUAACCGGUUAACUACGUUAAAAAAUGAAAUUUUCUCCCUUAAUGAUAUUCGAAUUCAAGUAUUGCAUUCAUUCAUGAAAAUGAUAUAUUUCAUCGCAGAUCUUCGCCUUGUGUAUAUAUGAUCACUAAAUGUAUACAUUACUCAACCACACCUUAUAUUGUACAUAUAUGUAUAUAUGGAGAGAGAGAGAGGAUGGAAGGUGAAUAAAAACAACUGUUGUGAUAAGAAAUAUGAUCCAAUCCUCAACCAUCUGCAUGCAUAUUGACAGGCGUAACUAAUUAUUUCUGGCCACGUUUUUUCUUCAAUUCUUCUUCGCUCUAUAAAUUCAUUUCAAUUGCCCACCUCAAAUUAAAUUAUACGUAUAAACUAAAACACACACACACACACACACACAUCUUUUUCUCAAUCAACUUUAAUUUAUCGAAAAAAAUGGACAAACAAGCAGCUGCAUCUGUUUCUUCAUUGCUUGAAUAUUGUGAUGAACCCAAAACCCUAAGCGCAUCUGAGCUUGCUGCCUCUAGGGUUUGUGCCUACAUUUUCUUUUUAGUAUACAUAUGCAGAUAUGUGUAGCUAUCUAGCUUUUAUCGAUUUAUGCUUUUUCUUUGUGUCACAGAAGGCAGCUCUUAAAGUAAUACAAACCCAUACACCCGAGGAAGCUUCGAGAAUAUUCUUGGGGGUAAAAACUCUUUCAUUUCCCUCUCCAAAACCCUCUGUGUGUGUGUGUGUUGAAACUUUCUCGAUCUUCAUUCGUGGGGUAUAUGCAUUUAAAAAUAUGAUCAUUUCUACAUUAAUUGAAGCACUAGAGGCGUAAAAAACAGCAGUCUCGAUAUGCUUGAUAUAAUCUUGAGUUGGACUAGACCAUAAUUUUGGUCUCAAUCGGACCCAGUUUAGGGAUUCUAACUUAGAAAGGCCCAAUUUUGAGGUCGAGCCCAUGCUUUUUUAGGAUCAAUGAUUUAUCGCUUAAUUUGGCUCCAAUUUGACAAUUCUAAAUGUAUCAUUACAAUUUACGCAUACAUAGAGAUGGCAAUGGAUUCUGGACCCGGUCUAAAUCCGUGUAUUCAGAUUCGUUUUUUAGGGUUUGGAUCUCAAUUUUUUGGACUCGUGAAUCUGGAUCUCAAUUUUUAAAAUGGAUCCGACCCAAAUUCGACUCGUGGAUCCAUUUUAUUUAAUGUAAAUUAUUUAUUUUUUAUAUUUAUUUUAUUACUAAUAUAAAAUAUAUUAAAAUUUAAAAAUAAUACAAAAAUUAGAAUUACAAAUUAAAAUACUUUGUUUUGUGCAAUAUUUUUUAUGAAGAAAAUUAAAUGUUGUUGAUUUUGUAACUUUUUUUUUAAUUUAAUUUAAAAACAGUAGAUCCAUGGAUUUAGACCCGCGGAUCUGAUGAAUCUGGAUUUGGAUCCUAAAUUUUCAGAUCUACGGAUCUGAAUCUGGUAAAAUGAAACGGAUCUGGAUCUGGUAUCGUUGUCAUCCCUAUGCAUACACUCAUACAUAAUGUAAUGUUUGUUUUAACAUAUUUUUUCUUAAACAUUUGAUCGUUGUUGCAGAAAAUGGAGGUUUCUUCUUCUACAAUAACAAAGAAGCAAGUGGAAUCUUUCAACAAGACGUGAUAAUA
rnacentral:lncRNA from 1 species